AACGUAGGUUCCGAGCGUUAUCCGGAUUUACUGGGCGUAAAGCGCGUUCAGGCGGUUUGGCAAGUCGGGCAUGAAAUCUCUCGGCUCAACCGGGAGAGGUUGUCCGAUACUGCUGGACUUGAGGGCAGUAGAGGGUGGUGGAAUUCCGGGUGUAGUGGUGGAAUGCGUAGAUAUCGGGAGGAACACCAGUGGCGAAGGCGGUUGCCUGGAGCUUUGCUGACGCUGAGGCGCGAAAGCGUGGGGAGCGAUCCGG
rnacentral:rRNA from 1 species